rnacentral:rRNA from 1 species
AUUGAACGCUCGCGGCAGGCUUAACACAUGCAAGUCGAGCGGAGAUGAGGUGCUUGCACCUUAUCUUAGCGGCGGAUGUGUGAGUAAUGCUUAGGAAGCUGCCUAUUAGUGGGGGACAACAUUCCGAAAGGAAGGCUAAUACCGCAUACGUCUAACGGUAGAAAGCAGGGGAGCUUCGGACCUUGCGCUAAUAGAUGAGCCUUAGUAGGAUUAGCUAGUUGGUGGGGUAAAGGCCUACAAAGGCGGCUAUCUGUAGCGGGUCUGAGAGGAUGAUCCGCCACACUGGGACUGAAACUCGGCACAGACUCCUACGGGAGGCAGCAGUGGGGAAUAUUGAACAAUGGGGGAAACCCUAAUCCAGCCAGGCCGCGUGUGUGAAGAAGGCCUUAUGGUUGUAAAGCACUUUAAGCGAGGAGGAGGCUACUGAGACUAAUACUCUUGGAUAGUGGACGUUACUCGCAGAAUAAGCACCGGCUAACUCUGUGCCAGCCGCCGCCGUAA